UACGGAGGGUGCGAGCGUUGUCCGGAAUCACUGGGCGUAAAGGGCGCGUAGGUGGCGCGGGAAGUCAACGGUGAAAGUUCGGGGCUCAACCCUGAAUCGGCCGUCGAUACUCCCGGGCUCGAGCACUGUAGAGGCAGAUGGAAUUCCGGGUGUAGCGGUGAAAUGCGUAGAUAUCAGGAGGAACACCUGUGGCGAAAGCGGCUCACUGGACCAUAACUGACGCUGAUGCACGAAAGCUAGGGGAGCAAACAGG
rnacentral:rRNA from 1 species